rnacentral:rRNA from 1 species
UACGAAGGGGGCGAGCGUUGUUCGGAAUUACUGGGCGUAAAGGGCGCGUAGGCGGCGAUCCGAGUCAGAUGUGAAAGCCCUCGGCUUAACUGAGGAAGUGCAUCCGAAACUGCAAGGUUUGAGUACGAAAAGAGGAUCGCGGAAUUCCCGGUGUAGAGGUGAAAUUCGUAGAUAUCGGGAGGAACACCGGUGGCGAAGGCGGCGAUCUGGGUCGAUACUGACGCUGAGGCGCGAAAGCGUGGGGAGCAAACAGG